AUUUACCUGGAAUGUUCGUCAGCGGAUUACGUCCCUGAGCCGAUACUUAAAACUUUUAGAAUUAGUUACUAGUUAUUGGUGUGCAAGCUUAGCUUGACUAAGAAGCCUAAAAAUAAUCUCAACUGAUUCCCUUGAACCGUCGGGUUCAAGGACCGACCAUCCGCAACGGCAUUCCGGGUUCCUU
rnacentral:other from 1 species